rnacentral:rRNA from 1 species
CCUACGGGCGGCAGCAGUGGGGGAUAUUGCACAAUGGGGGAAACCCUGAUGCAGCGACGCCGCGUGGGCGAAGAAGUUUUUCGGUAUGUAAAGCCCUAUCAGCAGGGAAGAAGAAAGGACGGUACGUGCGCCAGAAGCACCGGCUAAAUACGUGCCAGCAGCCGCGGGAAUACGUAGGGUGCAAGCGUUAUCCGGAUUUACUGGGUGUAAAGGGAGCGCAGGCGGCACGGCAAGCCUGAUGUGAAAGACCGCGGCCCAACCGCGGGACUGCAGUGGGAACUACCGGGCUGGAGUGCCGGAGAGGUAGGCGGAAUUCCUGGUGUAGCGGUGAAAUGCGUAGAUAUUAGGAGGAACACCAGUGGCGAAGGCGGCCUACUGGACGGUGACUGACGCUGAGGCUCGAAAGCGUGGGGAGCGAACAGGAUUAGAUACCCUAGUAGUC